GACGAACGCUGGCGGCGUGCUUAACACAUGCAAGUCGAACGGAAAGGCCCUGCUUGCAGGGUACACGAGUGGCGAACGGGUGAGUAAUACGUGGGUGAUCUGCCCUUCACUCCGGGAUAAGCCUGGGAAACUGGGUCUAAUACCGGAUAGGAGCCAUCUUUAGUUUGAUGGUUGGAAAGUUUUUUCGGUGUAGGAUGAGGUCGCGGCCUAUCAGCUAGUUGGUGGGGUAAUGGCCUACCAAUGCGGCGACGGGUAGCCGGGCUGGGAGGGUGGACGGUCACAUUUGGGCUGGGAAACGGCCCCGGCUCCUACGGGGAGCAGGAGGGGGGGAGAAUUCACCAUUGGCGCAAGCCUGAUGCCACGAAGCCGCGGUGGGGGUGACCGCCUUCCGGUUGGAAACUCUUUGCGCGAGGGAAGGAGGUUAUUGUGACGGUACCUAGAUAGGAAGCGCCGGCUAACUACGUG
rnacentral:rRNA from 1 species